rfam:Dipodomys ordii contig_53859, whole genome shotgun sequence.
GGUGGCUCAGUGGUAGAGUGCUUGUCUUGCAUGCAUGAGGCCUGGGUUCAAUUCCUCAGCACCA